UACGGAGGGAGCUAGCGUUGUUCGGAAUUACUGGGCGUAAAGCGUACGUAGGCGGUUACUCAAGUCAGAGGUGAAAGCCCGGGGCUCAACCCCGGAACUGCCUUUGAAACUAGGUAGCUAGAAUCUUGGAGAGGUCAGUGGAAUUCCGAGUGUAGAGGUGAAAUUCGUAGAUAUUCGCAAGAACACCAGUGGCGAAGGCGGCUCACUGGUCCGGUACUGACGCUGAGGUGCGAAAGCGUGGGGAGCAAACAGG
rnacentral:rRNA from 1 species